UGGGGAAUAUUGCACAAUGGGCGAAAGCCUGAUGCAGCAACGCCGCGUGAGUGAUGAAGGCCUUCGGGUUGUAAAGCUCUGUCUUUUGGGACGAUAAUGACGGUACCAAAGGGGGAAGCCACGGCUAACUACGUGCCAGCAGCCGCGGUAAUACGUAGGUGGCAAGCGUUGUCCGGAUUUACUGGGCGUAAAGGAUGCGUAGGCGGAUUUUUAAGUGAGAUGUGAAAACCCUAAGCUUAACUUGGGGACUGCAUUUCAUACUGGAAAUCUAGAGUGCGGGAGAGGAGAAUGGAAUUCCUAGUGUAGCGGUGAAACGCGUAGAGAUUAGGAAGAACACCAGUGGCGAAGGCGAUUCUCUGGACCGUAACUGACGCUGAGGCAUGAAAGCGUGGGUAGCAAACAGGAUUAGAUACCCUGGUAGUCCACGCCGUAAACGAUGAGUACUAGGUGUAGGAGGUAUCGACCCCUUCUGUGCCGCAGUUAACACAAUAAGUACUCCGCCUGGGAAGUACGAUCGCAAGAUUAAAACUCAAAGGAAUUGACGGGGUC
rnacentral:rRNA from 1 species